rnacentral:lncRNA from 1 species
UGAUGCGCAUGCGGCGUGUGCGUAUCGGCCACCUCGCGCUCCAGCGGCGGCGCCGGCUGCUGUGACGGUAGAGCUGGCCGAGGUGGUCCCGCCGCCGCCUCGGCGGGAGUAGGGGACGGGAGCAGCACGAGGCGGUGGAACCAGCAGGCGUCGUACAGCGCCAUGGUCUGCUCCGCAGCCGAUGCCGCAGCCUGUUGCGGUUGCGGCCGCUUCAUUUGGGAAAGGAGAGAGAGGAAAAGAGGGAGAGGAGUUGGG